UGCAUAGGAAUCUACCUAGUAGUAUAGGAUAGCCACUAGAAGUGGUGGGUAAUACUGUAUAAUCCCUGCGGGGGAAAGAUUUAUCGCUACAUGAUGAGCCUAUGUUAGAUUAGCUAGUUGGUGGGGUAAUGGCCUACCAAGGCAGUGAUCUAUAGCUGGUCUGAGAGGAUGAUCAGCCACACUGGAACUGAGACACGGUCCAGACUCCUGCGGGAGGCAGCAGUGGGGAAUAUUGGACAAUGGGCGCAAGCCUGAUCCAGCUAUGCCGCGUGAGUGAGGAAGGCCUUAGGGUUGUAAAACUCUUUCAGUGGGGAAGAUAAUGACGGUACCCACAGAAGAAGUCCCGGCAAACUCCGUGCCAGCAGCCGCGGUAAUACGGAGGGGGCAAGCGUUGUUCGGAAUUAUUGGGCGUAAAGGGCAUGUAGGUGGUUUGGUUAGUUAAAGGCGAAAUGCCAGGGCUUAACCCUGGAGCUGCUUUUAAUACUGCCAGACUGGAGUCCGGGAGAGGAUAGCGGAAUUCCUAG
rnacentral:rRNA from 1 species